GUAGGGAAUAUUGCACAAUGGAGGAAACUCUGAUGCAGCGACGCCGCGUGAGUGAUGAAGGCCUUCGGGUCGUAAAGCUCUGUCGCAGGGGAAUAACACAAUGAAGGUACCCUGUAAGAAAGGAUCGGCUAACUUCGUGCCAGCAGCCGCGGUAAGACGAGGGAUCCUAGCGUUGUUCGGAAUCAUUGGGCGUAAAGCGGAUGUAGGUGGCUAUGUAAGUCAGAUGUGAAAGCCUGGGGCUCAACCCCAGAAGUGCAUUUGAUACUGCGUAGCUUGAGUGUCGGAGAGGUUACUAGAAUUGUUGGUGUAGUGGUGAAAUACGUAGAUAUCAACAGGAAUACCGGAGGCGAAGGCGGGUAACUGGCCGAACACUGACACUGAGAUCCGAAAGCGUGGGGAUCAAACAGGAUUAGAUACCCGAGUAGUCC
rnacentral:rRNA from 1 species